GUCUGACUGGCUCAGUCAGUAGAGCCUGAGACUCUUAAUCUCAGGGUUGUGAGUUCAAGCCCCAUGUUGGGUG
rnacentral:tRNA from 1 species